GGGUAAACCGGAGAUCAAAACCCUAUUUCAUUUUGAGUGAGGCGUCUGGCAAAUAUGGCUGACUCCUUCCGCUGAUUUCUCUUGAUUGAAAUGGUCUCUCUCCCUCUCUCUCCCUCUCUCUUUCAAAUUUGGCGAUUUCAUCACACAUGUGAUUGUGCUGAGGUUUGGUAUAAUAUCCUCUGAAUAACCUCUGUACGCAGCGCUGCUUACGUCUUACGUACGCAAAUUUUUCUCUGCUUCAAGGGUGCUUUAGCGAUCGUAAUGCUGUUAAAAUUUUUCUUUUCUUCUUGUUGCAAUGGUUGUGGAACCGCUUGGACGUCCUGUGCAUCUGCAGGCAACUUCUGCAUUUCUCUUUGUUAUGAUGAUUAAGAAAUUAGAGGGUCAUCUUCGGGAUGGAGCAGAGUUGAAUGUGAUGAUGAUUGAGUUCUACAUUGGAUGUGGUCUUGUUCCCGUCUAUGGUGGUUUUCUCUUGCCAUGACAACGGAGUAGUUUGGAUGACCUAUGCUUUGCAGGUGAUCUUGUUUCAGUCCAUGGUGCUUCAGAGAUACCUGAUUUUCUCGUGCUGUGGCAGAGCAGCUUGGACGACCAAUGUUUUUGCUGGUAAAUGUUGAGUCAAUACAUCAUUUAUAGAGAACGUGUGGAUAUUUCAUUGAGUAUCCUUUACAUCCUGUGCAUCUGUGAUAUAGAAACGAUGGUUGCUUCUGCUUGCAGAUUGAACAAAGGUGAAUCUGAGUCUCCAAUUACACAUUUUAUUUUCUUCCAUUUUUUUUAAGAUCUUCAGGUAACAAAGGGAGGCUCUUCUGGUAUUGGAUUUGAGCUGGAUUUAACCUAAAUCCUGGGAAACAGCUGAAAAAUCAACUUUAAACCGCAAAAGCUAAAGUCCCACUUCUCUUUUAUUUUGUCUUUGAAUCUCUGAUUCGGUAUGCCCGGUCGGUCAACAUAUUUAUGUUAUAUGCCAUACUUUAUGUUGUGGCUACAAGAUGGAGCUCUGAACUUCAAUGUCGUGUAAGUAGAUCUUUAAAGAGGAAUUAGACAAUGCUACUCUUUGAAGAAAACUAUUUGAUAAGUUUUUCUUACCAUUAUUAUGUAACAGUUUGAACUGUAAUCCAUUGAGAUUUUUUGUUUUCGUUUAUUCCUGAAUUUAUUUAACUUCCAAUCAAUCUGCUUUAAAGUAUGUUGUUUUCUGCAUUGUUUAGCACAACAUGAUUUGGGUUCAAAUCAAUUGCAAAGCUUGACCUUCAAUCAGCGAUUCUCAAAUACCAGAGGUUAUCCCUCUCAUAGUGAUAUGGGAUCAGAUCAGUUUUAUAGGACUUGAACUUUAGCAUGCAGCUCCCGAUUAUUAGAGGAAGACUUCUGCAAUUUUGUGCAAUCUUUCAAUCUCUGUCACGUUGACUGAAAAAUGGGUGGAUCUUCUUCGUGAUGGAACAGAGGUUUUUGAUGGCCGGAACUUGAAGAAUUAUCCCCUUAUUAUUUGGAGUGGUCUUAUUUUGUGCAGAUUGGACAAAAUGGAUUUGGAGGCAUUUUUCUACAAAUGAACAAAAUGUGGGACUUCAUGGGGAUCUCUGAUUUUCCUAAGCAAU